GUGCAGAAGGCAUGUAUGUUUCAAUAGGGGAAAGUCUGACAGGGCGACGCGUAUAUCUGCAUGAGCAAGAAAAGCUUAUGGUUUAUUAUUGGGAUGGGCGCGAUGGAGAAGAAUUUG
rnacentral:rRNA from 1 species